UACGUAGGGCGCAAGCGUUGUCCGGAAUUAUUGGGCGUAAAGAGCUCGUAGGCGGUCUGUCGCGUCUGUUGUGAAAACUCGAGGCUCAACCUCGGGCUUGCAGUGGAUACGGGCAGACUAGAGUGCGGCUAGGGGAGACUGGAAUUCCUGGUGUAGCGGUGGAAUGCGCAGAUAUCAGGAGGAACACCCAUGGCGAAGGCAGCUCUCUGGGCCGGUACUGACGCUGAGACGCGAAAGCGUGGGGAGCGAACGGG
rnacentral:rRNA from 1 species